GGGAGUCGGCGAAUAUCCGAAGUUGGUGGAGCUUUUGGCGAAGUCCUGAAGUCGAGCUGACUCUGGGCCAAAGUGAAGAUUUAGAUGAUGGUCGUUGACGUUUACUGGGCCGAAACUGAAGGGAAUUCGAGCAUCGUAUGCGCCGAUGAUUCACCGAUUAAGGUGAAAGUAUGUAAUUUAAAAACAAUUUUCAGCAGAAUAAAACAGGGCUGUUCAAAACAGCCCAUUGCAAACUUUGGAUCUGAUCCAAUCCUACGAAAUUCUCAGAUGAAUCCGCAGGAUAUGUGAUAGAAAUAUUCAUGCAUGGAUUACAUCGUAUGUGUUCUUGAAUUGAGAUCAAAUCUCAACUCCAAAAACUGAAAACAGAACACUAACAUUUCAGCAGGUUGGUUCUAGCUUGCUGUUCCGCAACCGCACAAGCGUCCAGCCUCUACAAGUAAUCCACGCGAGGCCUCUAGAUCAAUCGGCAUCCCGAGGAGUGCUAGCUCGCAGGGAUGCAGCAGGUGGCCGAGAGAGAGGGAGAGAACUAGGAGGAAGAGGACUAGCUACCCUUUCCUUCAAUCUUUUUUUUUCCUUUCUUUUUCUUACAACAUGAACUCUCAAAGAUCAUUUCACUCUUUCCCAACUGGUGUCAAAACACCAAAUACUCUAAGCCAGAUCUUUUUU
rnacentral:lncRNA from 1 species